GAAAUGGGCUUCCAUAAGAACCACACAAACACACACACACAAAAAAAAUCAUGUUGCAUGUUCAAUUUUGUCUUGUUCCCUAUGUUAGACUGAUUUUUUUAUCAACAUUGUUGCCAAAUUAUAUUUAAUAAUGUUGAAUAAUAACACUAAAACCAUUUAUAUCAGUUGCAUUUAUUGAUUCAGCAGAAGUGAUUGUCCAAACAUGGAGUCAACAACAUUAGCAAAACAUUUGAACUGUAUUGUAUCGUCUUUAUGUGACAUUUUCUGCUGCAUAACCAAAACAUCUUUAAAAAAGCAAAGUGUGUCUUUGAGUUUUUAUUGAUGUCAGUAGACCUACAAUACACUGUUUUAAUGAAAGAAAAUGGCUUUUAAAAAUAUCCAAAAUAAUGACAUGAACAAAAAGCAAUAUUGCUUUGCAGGAACAAAAUUAGCUUUUACCAAAAAAAUGAAAACAGUUUCCCUAAUUUACUCAUAAACAUAAAUUGCCCUAAAACUUCCUCUAUGGUAAAGAUUGACACUGCAGUACGACUUUAUGCAAAUCUUUGAAACAAUGCGUAUUGCUGUUCAAAUAAAUUUGAUUUGGCAGACAGUUUCUGUCAAACUCAAAAAACGUACACAACAGUAGUUCAUAUGACUCGUGCGUCAUGUUCCAACACACGUUAUUUAGGUUGUUAUUCACUGAUAAUCUUCUCCUCCGGGACAUCGAUGAAACACAAUAAUAUCUUACGUAAUUCUCUGAGCACACGGAGUAGAAGAAGCCGGCGUGACACAAUGGCAGCUAAUGUGUUUCUCAUGAUUGUUGUCUGAUGCGUCUCGAGAGGAUUCGAGCUCUCGGAGGAAGAGGCUCAUUAGAGCUGAUGAGUGUCAUACUUUAAUAACGAGUUAACACGUGCUUCAAUGAACUCCUGAUCUCGUCCCGCAUGAAUCCGAUCAUGUCCAUGUUGAGCGGGAUGUUGUUAAAGGGGAACAAGUCAAGCCGCCUCCUCAUGUGACUCUGUAAUCCUGUGACGUCUAGUUUUAGUCCAGAUCCUCAUUAGAGUUAAUCUCAACAUUUACCUAAUUACUGUUUCCUAGACUACUGAUUAAGAUGGAUUUAUAACUUGCACACUUGUGUGUGAUUAUUCAGACAACAUGAGCUCAGUUUCAUGUUUCCCCUACUGUAGACAUCAUCAUCAUUAACAGAAACAACACAAAACCAAUGGAGCCAAAACACAGAUGAUGUGAUGAAUGGCUGUUGUAUUUAUACUACUGACCAGCAGAGGGCAUCCAUCUGUCUAUCUAUCUAUCACACAGGAGCCUCUUUUCAUAAUAAAAGACCUAUGAUGGAGCAAAUAUAUAAAUGCAUAAGGGUGGCAUCUUCAUACAGUGUUCGGCUUGUGCUGAGUUCAGACUUGUGCAAACACGGGAACAUCACGGCGUCCGGUGCGGCCACAGACCGUUCUCUCUCCUGAGCCACGGGGAACGCCAGCUGGGCUAAAUCAAAGAGUGCGGAUACAUGUUUUAUGGGCCGCGUGCUGAUGUCAGAACUACAAAACCCACAGUGCUGCCUUCAUGGAAACACUGGAGGAGACUCAUAAUUAUCUAGAAUGAAGCUAAUUGUCUAAAACUUUUUGGAAUCCUGUGGAAUUUGACCUCUGAAUACACGUCUUUGAUCAGAAUAUUUGAAGAAUCAUCCCUCUGGAACCCUAGACGUUCACUUUUAGAUGCAAUUGUAGCUCGGUCGUCUGAAGACGAUGAGGGACAGAAGAUGAUAACGGAUACUGCAGCCCCCUGCCACGAUGGCUGCGGAUCCUCUUGAUUAUAAAUGAACAUGAACGGUCAGGCAGUGCUGCUUUUGACCUGUUUAUGAGGGAAGAAGAGCGAGGACAGUACAUCGCAUACAGGCACACACAGUCAGGGGCAUCGCCUCGCAGGGAGAGAACAUUUAAAGAUAACAGUGUUGUGCAAGAAAUCACGAGUCGUGAAAACACUCAUACGUACAUGUAAACACAAUUAGCAUGAACGACAUUACAUACAUGCACAAAAAUAAAAUCGGCCUCAUGUUCUGAA